CACGCAUGCACAACAAACGUACUAUUUCCACUCUCUCCUUUUAAAAGACCUGCACAGUGAUUCAGGCUAUACUUUUCCUCCCCUUUAUAAAUAGCUGCACUCCGCUCAAUGACGUGGGAUACGCACGUACAUGUGUAGGUGAAUCUUUGAAUGAGCGCUCCCUCUCCUCCCUCUCUCCCCUCCUCCCUCCUCCGUGCCUUCUACUAGUUACUACGGGAUCUCUAUAAAAAGCCUAAGGUUGAUGGGAGAGCCCGGUCUAUGGGAAGCGACUCUGGAGAAGAGGGACGGCAGCGUCUGUGCGCGAAGACAGCAUGGCACAGAUUUGCGCUGACAGUCUUGUGGUGAUGAAGACAGCGAGUUCAGAGAGAGAGAGAGUGGGGGGACAGAGAUAUUUCCACAGCCAAGUGCCGCAGACACGCAGGGAGCUUUGAAUGAGGUUUUUCCAUGAGGGGAUUGUUUGUCCUUCUCACCAUUUCUUCCCCGUCCUGUUGCCAGAGCAUCAGCACCUUGGCUUUAGACUGCUUACUGCUUAUACAGUAUCAAAGUACAGUAACAGUCUACAGUCAUGGCUACUGAAGCCUGGCAAUGCAUCAAACACCACAGUGAAGGCAACAUGAACACCCAGUGAAAAAGAUAUUAUCUCAUUCUAUUUUAAAUGGCUGAUGUGAUGGCAGGAGUUCACUCUGCUAGAGAUCCCCCUCUGUGCCCCCCCCCACAAAACACCCACCCACUCAGCCACCCACCCGCUCAGAGAGGAAACCUGUGUGGGCUUGCAUUGGGGGAGACCUACACAAUGUAAGCACGUAGCAUUCACACUCAAGCCAAUGAGACCUUGCAGGUUUCCUGUUACCAUGCCUACUCCAGUUCCUCCUCCACCCUGCUGUCUCCAUGGCGACCGUGGCUUUAGAUUGUUACUCUAGCAACAGCACCAUGGUAACAGUCUACAGCCAUGGUCGUUAGGGGCAGGUGUCAUCAGGAAAGAGAGAAGUUGCAGCUCAUGGUGAACUUCACAGUUAAGGUGUCUCGUGAACUUGGUGAGAUGUCACUCAUUCGUUCAGGUGAAAAGAUGCCAGUUUAAUGUAUUCAUGUCUGUGAAUACUGAGGUAUGACUCAUGUCAUUUAUUGCUUAUGGUGUUUUGACUUUAUUUAAUAAUGUGUUUCGCUCGCUACACCCAACACCUUCACGAUAAGUUAAGCUGCGACACAUGGACACACACUGCCUUCCAUUUUAACUUCAUUACACAUAGGAUGCUUCUUUUGAUCAGUGAGUACAGUGAUGAAUGCACAGAGCACAUGCUGAACGGAUGAGUCAGCCAGCUCCAACACCUGCUCUGCUCUCUGUUUAUCAGACAAGAGCAGCUUCACUUCAAAGCAGCACAGCCAAGAAUUCCCUGUGGGCAGCGCUAUAACCUGCAGGCACAUACAAACACACACUGGGUCCUAACAGGUGGGCUAACCCACACGCACGCAUGCACACAUGCACACAUGCAGAUACACAUGUUUGGUAUGCUUACAACAAACACAUCACACUCAUAAAGACUGCACUCCAACUUAGGCUACUCUACUUCAAACAUUACUCAGUAAUGUUUAGAGUUAUACUGCCCUCCAGAGGCUUGAAUUUGCCAAGGUCAUCUGCUUAACACAUUUUUUUUUUCCAGACUGAAAAGUUCUGCAGCAAGCGAAAUAUAAAUAAAAGCUUUAUCCCAGUGGCGUGUGGAUACUUGCGAAAAUAUCUGCCUUUCAAUGUGAUGAUGUGUUAGCUUUUCCUACUUUGUAACCGAAAAGGUGGAUGUUGGCUCAAUUAAAGGUCUGGCAAUGAAGAUAAUCAAAACAA